GUGCGCGCCGCAUUUGUGUGACUGUCAUUUGCCGUGUGAUUUAGCAAAGUGAAGACGUGCGCAAGACACAAAGGUGAAAAACUAUUUCAGUGAAUUGGACAUAUGUAUGUGCGACUCUUCCGUACCUCGAGGCCUCUUUGCUCUUCGCUAGACCAGACAGCUAAGGGAA